GCCCAGGUGGUGGAACUGGCAGACACGUACGGUUCAGAGCCGUAUGCCGAAAGGUGUGAGGGUUCAAAUCCCUCCCUGGGCA
rfam:Candidatus Sungbacteria bacterium RIFCSPLOWO2_01_FTLL_47_10 rifcsplowo2_01_scaffold_32196, whole genome shotgun sequence.